rnacentral:lncRNA from 1 species
AGAACAUUUACUCAGAUUAAAAUUACUUACAAAAUGGCAAUGAUCUAAGUUGUAGAACCCAUAAAUAAAACAAUAACAAGGAUAAAUUCGUAGUAGAAGGUUGAAAACAUAUUGAAAUUGCAGAAUUUCCAUCUUCAUUCAUCAAAUCAGUUUACACAUGAGGUGGAGUGUAAAAUGUACCUGGAAAAUGAAAUAAACAGCAAAAGGUCAACAGCUGAACAACACAGCAACAUCACAUCCUAGAAAUAACUAAAGGAAAACCAAUUUUGAACCAAACUCCAACCAGCAGGAUCCAAUAAUGUCCAGUAAUCAAAUGCAACCAAAAAAUCGAACCCCAAACACUUAAAACCAACCAGCUUAAGCCAUUUCAAACCUCCGAUUAUCUAAGGACUGUUUCAGAAAUAAAAGAUCUUCAAGAGUUUCAGAAAAUUUUAAUGGAACAACAUUUUUUGGAUAUUUUCAGCAGAUUUGUUAUUUUUUGGGUCUUUUA